rnacentral:rRNA from 1 species
UCUAGAAAUUUGGGCAAUGGGCGAAAGCCUGACCCAGCGACACCGCGUGUAGGAUGACGUCUUUCGGGAUGUAAACUUCUGACAGGGGGAACGAGGCCGCACCGGAGUAACUGCCGGUGUGGUGACGGUACUCCCAAAGGAAGCCCCGGCUAACUACGUGCCAGCGGCCGCGGUAAUACGUAGGGUGCAAGCGUUGUCCGGAUUCACUGGGCGUAAAGGGUGUGUAGGCCGACUGGAAAGUCCUUAGUGAAAGCCUAUGGCUCAACCGUAGAAUUGCUACGGAUACUUCCGGUCUUGGGGAUAGGAGAGGAGGAUGGAACUUUCGGUGUAGCGGUAGAAUGCGUAGAUAUCGAAAGGAACACCAAUGGCGAAGGCAGUCCUCUGGAAUAUUCCCGACGCUGAAACACGAAAGCUGGGGGAGCAAACAGGAUUAGAUACCCUGGUAGUCCCAGCCCUAAACGAUGUAUAUUUGGUGUUGCCCAUUUUGGGCAGUGCCGAAGCUAACGCGAUAAAUGUACCGCCUGGGGACUACGGCCGCAAGGUUG